UGGGAAGAAAGGUGGAGGGGAAUUGGGAAGGGGGUUGAGAGAGUAAUCAAGAUAUAUUAUGUAAGACAAACAUUUAUUUUCAGACGGACAAAUAGCACUAGCUGCUUUUCCAGAGGGCCCAAAUUUGGCUCCUAACACUCCCAUCAGGCAGUUCAAACCAUCUGAAACUUCGUCUCCAGAAGAUCAACACUUUUUGGCAGCAUACACUCACGCAGAUACACAAACAUGCACAUCAACAAAAAUAAAUCUUGAUGGGUGUGGUGGCACAAGCUUUUAAUCCCAGCUCUCGGAAGACAGAGGCAAACAGAUACGAAUUCCAGUCUUACAAAGUGAAACUCUGCCCACCCACCUCCAAAUUAAUAAAAACAAAACAGUUUUGUGUUUCGAAGGAGGGGUUAUAUAAAUAAGGGAAUUUGCGUCCAAUCAUAUAUCAAAAGUUUAUAUAAAAAAAAAAGCUCGGGUGGUCUGAAUUUUAAUGAACAGAUGUCAAUUUUGACUAAAUCGGCUUAAAGUUCUAGUCUGAGCUGCCCCGCCGGUGGCUCCCAGCAAAUGGCCCGGCAGCGGUGUGCGCCUGCAGGUACCCGCGUGGAGCGGGUCCCCCUAAGCCGGGAGGAACGGCGGGUGGGGGCUGCUUUUUAACUGACUGACUCAGGAAGCCUCGAAGGGUUGGUGGAUGCUCCUGACGAGAAGACGGGCGAAUAGAAAGGGGCGGCCCGGGAAGGCUUGGGGACCAAUGGCGGGGUGAGUCCUCCCCGAACCUGAGGGUUCAACCGCCUACACCGAGUGAGGGACCAGGAGGCCGCGCCUCAGGGCGGGGAGAGGGGCAGGACCAACGCCGCCCGGGGACCGCUGGAGCCCAACAGUCGCCCACGCGCCAAGCGGUACCCUCCAGCAUCACGAGCCUCUCGAGCCACCCUGGAAGCCCUCUGCCCGGCCCACAAUCCCAGAGAAGACUUAGCCAAGCCGAGUUUCACUUACCUGCGGCCUCCAGCCUCGCCCGCACACCUGCGGCACCCCACGCUGACAGCCUGGAACCCCCGCGGCGGCUGGCCGCACCCACCCGGAUGCAUAAAUGCCGUAGCUACUUCCGCCCAGUGGCCGGACAGAAGGAUGUAACACCCCCCCCCCAACACACACACACCAUGGCGUGUGCCUAUGGGCCGCGCCAUGUUGUACGGAAGCCUCUAGGGCGGCUGUUACCUCGGCAGCUUCUCUGUUAAAGGAUGGGCUAAAAUUUAAAAUUGUAAAGACUUAACGUCUUCGGAAAAGUGAUGCUUCCUGAGAUGGCGCUUUUGUCUUUUGGUUUUGAAGGAAGAAGCCUACUGAACGUUCACAAAUGCACUCAUGCUUGAAAAGGCCAGAAGAGAGCGUUGGAUCCAUCUCCUGCAACUGGAAUUAUAGAAGGUUGUGAGCUACUGUAUGGGGGCUGGUAAUCCAACCUGGGUUAUCUGGAAGAGCAGCCAGUACUCUUAACUGCUAAGCCAUUUCUCUGGUCCCUUAUAUCCUCUUUUAUAAUAACCACAAUAUUGUCUGUAUAUGAAACCAUUCAUUUAGGAUUGAUGACUUUUUUUUCUGUUUGUUUUAUUUUGUUUGUUGGGGGACGGGGUCUGUGCACCACAAUCUGGCCUCCGAUUCUCAAUAUGUAACCAUCAAUUCUUGAUCCUCCAGCUCCCAAGUACCAAGUGCUAGGAUUACAGGCAGGCAUGUGCUACCGUAUACCCUGUUUAUGCAGUGGUGGGGAUGAGCCUCAAGCUACAGUGAUGAAUUUAAGGCCAACAUGGGUUAUAUGAGAUUCUAUCUCAAGAAGGAGGAGCAAGAAGAGUUGUUUGUAUAAACUUUCAUAAUGUUUUCUGUAUACUACAGAAGCUUAGGAGCUAAUUAGAAACACACAUACACGAACACACCAAUAUGUAAGCAUACCCAAAAUGUUAGAAGUGAGAAAGGAUUUCUUCUUUUGAAGAUGGAGAACUUUGGAAAAAAUGACUGUAAGAAUCUUAGACCUUCACGAAUUCCUCUUAGACUGAUGGUGAUACUCUCACCCACCACACAAAGGCACAAACCACUGAACCAUCAUGGGUUGAUUCAACGUUCCUUUUCGUUCUUGAGGGAGUCACUGUGGGAUUAAACUAAAGUUGUGUGAAUAAGGAGACAAGAAAAUUUAGGCCUCUAUAUAAGGUAAAGUUCAAGGCCAUGAGCCAUACUAGUAGUAAGUUUAAGACCAGCUUGACCUACAUUAGAGAGAGAAUUUGUUUAAAAAAGAAAGGGAGGGAGGGAGGGAAGGAAGAAAGGAAGGAAGGAAGACAGACUCGGAG
rnacentral:lncRNA from 1 species